AUUGGGAAUUCCUGGCAUCCGUCAGGCCGGUCCCUGUGCAUAUAGGUGGACUGGGCGGCCCCCUCCGGGCGUGCACGCCACCGCCCACUCCCUGGGUUCCCACUCCCCCGCAGCUCAUGUGACACCACCUUAAGCUGAACCGGAGUGGAGCCGGGGGACGCCUCCCGGAGCUCGGGGACCAAACAGCACUGAGCUCAGGAGUCGCGGGAGUCGCCGAGGAUUGGCCCGGUUCCCUGGCGGCGGGAAGGCCUGGAACUUGGGCGCACCGGUGUUGCUGCGGUCCCACGAGAGCUCCGAACCCCAGAUCUGCGAGGGGAAACCCGAGGCGUAUUUCGUUUUCUUUUUCCCGGGGAACCUGGGUCGGGACAAGUCAGUACCCUGGAAAGGGGUGGCGAGGGCCUACAGUAAAAAGGAAUUUCCUGAUUCCACCGCCGCUGCUCUGGUCCCGCCCCUUGGGACCAGGCUGAUCCCUGCCCUGCCGGAGCCAGGUAUCUUCACUGCGUGCUGGUUGGAACUACCAUGACAAAAGCCACCAUGAACAUUUCGGGGUGUGUUUUUGAUGAACGCAUGCAUUCAUUUCUCUUGAAUGUAUACUUCCAAGCAUAACUGCCCGGUCUCAGGGUUGGCAUAUGUGUCUCUUUAGGCUGAAGAUUGAACCUAGGCCUUCAUGAAUGUUAGGCAAGCACUCUUCCCCUGAUCUACAGCCCUGGCCCGUGGACAGACAUAUGAAGACACAAAGACAGAAUGCCAGCCCAGGGCCUGGUAGACAACAGGCCUCUACAACAGUCAUUCACUCUCCUUGCCCUACUAGGAGGUGUUAGCCCUGCAGAGCCCUGUACGGAAACACAGACAAGUAGGUUCUAUAAGAUACUGGAAACUGCCAGGUGAUGGUGACCUACACCUUUAAUCCCAGCAGAGGCAGGUGGAUCUCUGAGUUCAAGGCCAGCCUAGUCCCCGCAGCAAGUUCC